GCCUACGGCCAUACCACCCUAAACACGCCUGAUCUCUGAAGCUUAGCAGGGUCGGGCCUGGUUAGUACUUGGAUGGGAGACCGCCUGGGAAUACCAGGUGUUGUAGGCU